AUUGAACGCUGGCGGCAUGCUUUACACAUGCAAGUCGAACGGUAACAGGUUAAGCUGACGAGUGGCGAACGGGUGAGUAAUGCAUCGGAACGUGCCCGAUCGUGGGGGAUAACGCAGCGAAAGCUGCGCUAAUACCGCAUACGAUCUGAGGAUGAAAGCGGGGGACCGUAAGGCCUCGCGCGAUCGGAGCGGCCGAUGUCAGAUUAGGUAGUUGGGGGGGUAAAGGCUCACCAAGCCAACGAUCUGUAGCUGGUCUGAGAGGCCGACCAGCCACACUGGGACUGAGACACGGCCCAGACUCCUACGGGAGGCAGCAGUGGGGAAUUUUGGACAAUGGGCGAAAGCCUGAUCCAGCAAUGCCGCGUGCAGGAAGAAGGCCUUCGGGUUGUAAACUGCUUUUGUACGGGGCGAAAAAGCUCUCUCUAAUACAGGGGGCUCAUGACAGUACCGUAAGAAUAAGCACCGGCUAACUACGUGCCAGCCGCCGCGGUAA
rnacentral:rRNA from 1 species